rnacentral:lncRNA from 1 species
AUCUUCUCAUUUCAUGGGAAUGACCUGAGACUGCAAUCACGGCUUCAAUUUUUGAAUUGCAGAAUAAUUAGAUGCACUAUCUAGUGUUUAUAAGAUAUCUAUGCUUUUGCACCUCCAUUUCAAUUAUUUUUUGUGUAAUACGUUUUUAAUUUAAAUUUAUUUUUUUCAAUGAUCUUUUUUUAAAUAUAUUAUAAUUAAUGUUAGUCUUCUAUGUUUGUAAACGUACUGUAUUGAAAAGGUGCAUGUUGUAAGCAGUAUUUACAUACUAACUUUUUGCACCGUCCAUUUCAAUCUUCUUUGAACAGUACGUUGUUUGUCUUUAUACUUAAAGGAUUAGUGUCAGGGUUGUGCAUUGCUGGCUUUUACUGUUUACAUUACUCAAAUACAACAAAUAGCGAUAAAAAUACCUUGUUUGCUACAUUUCUGAUAAAAAUCACACAAAAAGACCAAGUAUUAUAAAAGAUAGUUUAAAUAUAUGACGGAUUGUAAACUCUUUCCAGUUCAUCUAGUCUAUUCGUCCCGAAAAAUGGCCGCCAGCAGAAGUUUGAGCCCGCGAAUUCCCGGUGUGACACUAAUCCUUUAAAUUGCAUUCUUCUAAUUAAUAUAUUUCAUAAUUAAUGUUGGUCUUCUAUGUGUGUAAACGUACUGUAUUGAAAAGGUGCAUGUUGUAUAAGCAGUAUUUAUAUACUAGCUUUUUGCACCGUCCAUUUCAAUCUUCUUUGAACAAUACGUUGUUUUGUCUUUAUACUUAAAUGAAUUCUUCUAAUUAAUAUAUUUUAUAAUUAAUGCUGGUCUUCUAUAUGUGUGUAAACGUACUGUAUUGAAAAGGUGCAUGUUGUAUAAGCAGUAUUUACAUACUAGCUUUUUGCACCGUCCAUUUCAAUCUUCUUUGAACAGUACGUUGUUUGAACUACUUUCCUGCCCAAGGGAACCGUCAUUACUUGCUACAAUCCACAGUCUAUUCCAAGAGUGCACAGUUUAAAGAAUCAGUUUGAUCCUGGAGGACAUUGACAUCUCAUUCCAUAGAUACUCGUUCAAGGACCUCGAGGGAUUCGGCAGAUGGAGAUUUCGUGUGUGAAUUUUAUACAUUUAUUGACCUAACCAGGAACAAUUGCAAACAUUAUCUGGGACAAACACAUUUGUCCCUGUUUAAUUUAACUUUUUAUUGCCGUUUUCAGGCAAUGUGCAUGAAACUACUUGUAUGUGAAUUUAUUCAUGCACUUGAUAUAAUCUUCAAAUAUAUACUACUACAAUUGGG